rnacentral:rRNA from 1 species
UACGUAGGUGGCGAGCGUUGUCCGGAAUUACUGGGCGUAAAGGGUGCGUAGGCGGUUUUUUAAGUGGGAUGUGAAAUCCAUGGGCUUAACCCAUGAACUGCAUUCCAAACUGGAAAGCUAGAGUGCAGGAGAGGAAAGCGGAAUUCCCAGUGUAGCGGUGAAAUGCGUAGAUAUUGGGAGGAACACCAGUGGCGAAGGCGGCUUUCUGGACUGUAACUGACGCUGAGGCACGAAAGCGUGGGGAGCAAACAGG